AUGAGUGGACAAAUAAAAGAUAGCUUUCAGCCAAAUCAUCAGAAAAGAAAUUUUCCAUAAAUUUUGGAGGUUUUUCGAUUGAUAAAAAGUAAGCUUUUAAUGCAGGGAACAGUUUGAGAAUUCGUUCCACUGCAGGAAACGAACUAGGCCAUCGAGUCUUUCUGUGUGAAAGUAAGGGUUGAUAUUGAACAUCAACGAACUCACAGAAUUCUUUCAAUUCAGCUGUUUUGACAGUGUACACCGAGAAAUGCCUGAACAGUUUAAAAACGAGGGCAUCAAUAUCAAAUUUUCCGAAUUGAUCUAAUCCAUGCUGGGCGCAAUUAUGAAGAAUAUGAGCAGGGCACCCAACACCAAUGACGCGAGAAUUUACUUUUUCUUUGAAAAGGGCCAACACAUUUUUAGACCCCUUGCAAUUCAAGCCACCAAAACUGAUUGGAGCGUUAUGUGCUACAAAAGCUGUCAAUUGUUCAGUCAAAUUUUGUGUCUCGAGAACGCUUUCAAUCAAAUUUGUAAUCGUUUCAGCCUUCUCGUUAUUUGUUUCUUGUAAAUCCAGCAAUUUUACUUAAAUACCCCCAUUUUCAAAAUCAAAGCAUUGAGUAACAAUGGGGAAAAGUUUAUGAUGACCAUGAUUAGAAGGAUCUGUGAACUGAAUUCCUUCUAAAGCUUUUUGCCUCAGUUUUUGUUCUCGCGCAAGACAAUUGUUUGGCUAUUUCAGAAUCUACGAAUAACGUACGAAGAAGAGGUGCAGUACAAUCCAUUACAUUAUAACUAGAGUGGCGUUUUACAGUGUGGAAUGCCAGAGUUCCUUCUCCAGCCCAGACUUUAAGUGCCGUUGGAUUGAAAGUUUCCAAGGAUUGCGAUGUUGAAGAGGUUCUCACGUUUUUUUUGUGUCUCUCUGAGUUGACGUAGUUUCUUAAAUCAUAAACUUCAAAAGCAAUUGAAACAUUCCAACUAUCAGCUGGCAAAUUUCAUUUAUCAUGCAUAAUGCAUCAUUUAAAAUUCAAAUUAUUACGGUUCAUAGAAAAAAGAUUGAGAAGACAGAAAAACGUGCAUUCAAUUAACUACAAUACAAGUGAGAAAAAAAUCUUAUAAAGUUUUUAGACACAUUCAAGAAUUUAUAUACAUCAACAAUACUUUUUUUCAUGUCAUACUGUAUACGGCAUGAAAAACAAGUAUUAUUGAUUUUAGAGAUGAAAUUAGAAAGGGCACCCACCGCCAUGAGCAAAAGAAAGGGAACAAGAACAAACUUCACACUUCUCUUCUUGCUCGGUUUUGCCCUGUACAAAGCAAGGGAAUUGUUUUUGCAAAGCGGACGUAAAAUCAUAAUUGCCUUUUCUUUUCCUUUUUGCUUCAGUUGCCAUUGAUAACUGAAAGUACUCCAAAUGUAAAAUGAAUUUAAUUUUUGAAAUAAUUUCAUUUCACAUCAUGUUUAUAACCUCACAAGUCUUGGAGUGUAAAUUAAACGAAAACUCGAUUGAUUUGAAAGAAUUAUAAACGUUGUUGACAAUGGUGGUGGCUGUGUAUAACAGUAUCGAAAGUCUUGAUAACGAUCGAUAUAUUUUGUCUCUUUUCAUCUGAUUUAAAAUCGUUCGGUGCGUUUAUCGAAUGUGCGCGUGUGUGUAUCUAAUAAAUUUGCGAAAAAAGUCGUUUCGCCGAGAAUCAGUAACCUUAAUUGAAAAAUCAAUAUAUCAGUACGGGGGUCUAAAAAUCAGUACGCGUACUGAUAAAAUCAGUACAUCUGGUAACCCUACAAGUAUAAUUCUUAAUGCCGAAAGUGUUAUAUUACGUGCUGUGCAAAACAAAAGCAACAAAUUUAGUUCAAUAAUAAUUUUUGUUAUACUUUUUCCAAAAUAUAUUUUAACAAAAAUUUUAUAACAGAAAAUAAAAUACUUGUAAAAAGUUUAACUAAAACAUUUUCCAAUUAAUUGCUCUUAGUAAAUAUUGCUGAGAAAAAUAACAAAAUAUACUUCACAGUCAAUUAGUAAUUGUGCAAAACUAAAGCAACACAUUAAUAUUUUGUAUAAGAACCCUUAGCUUUUAUAAUCUCAGCACAUCUUCGGGGCAUUGAUGCUAUCAAAUUAUCAAUUGUGACUUGUGGGAUGUUUAUCCACUCCAUUUUUAACGUGUCAAAGAGUUCUUCUCGGUUGCCAAAACGCCGACCAGAAACUGCUCGCUUUAAAAAGCCAAACAGGUUCUCGAUUGGAUUCAAGUCCGGGGAUUGAGCAGGCCAAUCAAGAACCUGAACACCACUGACCCUAAGAGAGUCUUUUACCAGCUUAGAUGUGUGUUUCGGGUCGUUGUCGUGUUGAAAGACCCAAGAAAGUGGCAUAUUCCACGCAGCAUGGUAGCAUAAAGGUUUCCAAAAUACUUUUGUACAAAAACCUUUCCAUUAUUCCAUCUAUUUUCUUAAAAGGACCAACCCCGCUGCCGGAAAAACACGUCCACACCAUAAUGCAACCACCACCAUGCUUGAAACUCAUCCUACAGUUCCUUGCACUAUGGCGUUUACCUUUAUGCCGGCUGACUGUACUCAUUCCAUCCGAAUUAAUCAUAUUAAACUUUGAUUCGUCGUUCGUUUUCCAUUUAGCAACGGACCAAUUACAAUGUGCAUUUGCGAAAUUCAAUCUAGAAAAAAAAUUUGGUUGAAUAGUCAUCAAUAUAUAGAAGCCUAUGAUGUUAGGUGUCAAUAUACCUUUUUUGCAAGUGUUUUUUUUGUAAGCAUCGGUUUCUUCGCUGGUCUGUAACUUCGCAAGUUGUUUUCGAUUGCUGGUCUACGAACUGUACUUGCAUGAAUAUUUAAAUUAAGAGUUUUAACAACUUCAUUUGAAGUGGCAAAUGGAUUUUUCUUGAAAACUCUACACAUUUGCAUAUCAGUUCGAGGGUCGGUUUUACGCGGUCGUCCGCCUAAAUGCACUGUCGUAACACUUUUGGUCAAAUAAUACUUUUUAAUUAGUCUACAAAUGAUAGAUCUAUUGAUAUUAUAUUUUUUAGCUAUUUUACUUUGAGCGCCUCCGUUACGAUAAUUAGUUGUAAUGCUCAUUUUCAAACUAUCGCAAUACUUUUCUCGCGCCAUUUCAAACGUCCUUUUGCUCCCAAUAUAUAAAACGAACUAAUUUUUAUUUUGCUCUAAAUAGUUAUAUGCAUUAGUAAAACAACACCUGCAUAACUGUAAAUCCGUUAUUUUCCAAACCUUCGUCGUCUACUACAUUAAAGUAAAUCGUUGCUUUUGUUUUGCACAACUCGAAUUCAAAUAUAAUUAUUUUUUGUUAUUUUUGCAUUUAUUUAAUACCGCUUAAUGAAGUGUACCGGUGCUUAAAUUGCUUCUUACCCAUAAGUAAACAUCCACUUGAGUGAAAUUUUUUUUAGCUCUGUUUCUUUUGUUGAAAAUGUCAAUGCCGUUUUGUUGCUUUUGUUUUGCACAGCACUGUAUGUUAUAUUAUACAUACGUAAUGACUUUCGUUAUUCUAACAAAUCUCAUGUCAAAUAUAACGAUCAGUGUGUGAGUUAUUUCUUUUAUAAAAUUGCUUGAAUAUGUGUUCUCGAGUAUAUGUACCUGAGCAAUCUCAAAGCUUCCAAUUUCAGGAUAAAUUGGGUAUUUCCGACUUUCCAGCUGAUUUUAGGUUGGUAACAAUGUGUGAUAUUCUAAUGAAAUAAUAUUAACAACUUUUCUUAAAAAUGUAUAUUAGUUUUUGAGCGUCUGGUGUAUUUAUUAAAUUUAGCCUCUCCGGUUGAGUUUUUAUCUGACCGGAACUAAAAAAAAAACUAAGUGAGUCUGUGCGCUAACAGGUCAAUUGAAAAGUUCCCGGCCUGACACAUAGAUGGCGCUAAUAGAAUUAAAUCCAUUAUUUUUAAUUUGCGCCAUCAUUAUAAGUUUGACAGCUGUCGUAUUACUAGUUUGUGAAUUAUAUCAUUAUAAGUGAAGCAAAUUUUCCUAUUGUGAAAAAAAUGGAUGGCUUUUAGGGCGGAAAAUAUUGUGGAAUCCAAGGUUUUGAUUGAUCAACAUUAAUUGGACUAUUCAUCAGUAAAAUUAACCGUUGAGAAGUGGUUUGCUCAGUUUGAACGAUGCGAAAUGAGCACAGAGGACGGUGAAGGCAGUGGACGCCUAAAAGAGGUUGGUAACGGCGAAAACAUUUGGGUAAAAAAUAAGGACGAGUUGAUGAUUCUUAGCAGUGUUUGGUAAUGUCAUUAACAAACCCCUCUACCUUGAAAAAAAAGGUCCGUAAAUAGCGGCUAUUACAUAGAGAUAUUGAACAUUGAAAAAAUUCCAGACUCGGGCUUCGGAUUGCUUCCGCAUUCACCGUAUUCUCCAGAUCUGGCCCAAGCGACUAUUUCCUGUUCUCAGAUGUCAAAAGAAUGCUUGCUGGGAAUAAGUUUUUAUCCAAUGAAGAGGUCAAAGCCAAAGCUUUGUACUACAGUAUACUCUCGAAAAGUAAAUCGAUUGGUAUUUUGGGUAAUUUACUUUUUCGAAUAAUUUACUUUACCAAAUAUAUACAUAAAUUAUCUGUUUUUAUAAUAUUAAAUGCAUUUUUAAGCUUAAAAAAUUCAUUCAUUUAUUUGCUUCAAUAAAACAUAUGGAUUUACAUGAAAAACAUAUUUACAUUUACAUACAUACAUAUCGCUCAUUUGCUGCAAGACCGGCAUAAGUCAAAAAAAUCGAAGCUCCAGAAAACGCGUUUAAAGUUUUCAACUGACUACAACCUUACACGGUGACUCCAACCUUACACCUCUUCUCAAGCGGAGCAUAUAAGAGGUAUUCAUAUGAAUUUUUCACUCAACAUGAAGUAUGAUAUAACGAACAAUUCUGCAUCAUUAACUCAAAAAUCACGUUUUUUGAUUUAUGCCGGUCUUGCAGCAAAUGAGCGAUAUGUAUUUACUAUGAAGAGAAAAAAUCUUGAAUAUUCUUUUGUUUUUUUUUUCAUUUGCAAUAUAUUUUCUGACCAUUUUUGUACGACAAUUCAAAAAGUCUGACACCUGAUUUGCAUCGUUUUCAUUUUUAAACCAGUGGAUCAAGUUGUUUACGCUUUGAAUUGCUUCCGCAUAUGUCACUUUGGGUUCCUGGCUAACUUCUUCUCCAUCUGAAGUGUCUGACAAAAUUUCUAUUUCAUCAGCAGUUUCUUUGUUUACUAAAAAGGCGCGAUAAACAAGAGAGUAAGUGUUUUUGCAUCAUCGUAAAAAACGCUGCUUGCUUCGUUUCGAAUUUUUUAUCACACUCUCUGAAAAGUAAAUUAAAAAAAUUACUUUUUCGAGGUGCAUGUGUAAUCUUAAAGGUGAUUUACUUUUCCGCGAUUAUUUACUUUCUGAGAAUUUACUUUUCGAGAGUAUACUGUACAA